rnacentral:lncRNA from 1 species
UUUUAUUAUAUAUAUUUUUAUUUUUUAUUAUUAUUAUUAUUUAUUUAUUUUCGUUUUAUUUUUCAUUUUUUUUCGUUUUUUUUUUUCGGAUCUAAUUCUGAUUGACAUGAUGAAAUGCAAUAUGAAAUGCUAAAUGAAUGCAUGAAUGAGGAGGGCAAAUUUUGGGGUGUUACAAUAUGUAGAUAAGAUUCAUGUCCCUCCGACACUGUU